rnacentral:lncRNA from 10 species
CCAGUUAGACACUCUGUAUCGUUAUUGUCUAAUCUUAGGCACACACUGUAUUCUCGGGCCCUCCUCCAGCCUCCCUUCGGCGCAGGACCCUGGGGGAGCUCGUCCCCACCGCCAAGCCGCUCGCCCUUCCCCGUUCGCCGCCCGGAGGUUCGGGAAGGAGACACACCCGGGCCAGGCGCGGUUGCUCGCGCCUGCAAUACCAGCACUUUGGGAGGCGGAGGCGGGCGGAUCACCUGAGGUCGGGAGUGCGACCAGCCUGGCCAACAUGGCGAAACCGUGUCUCUCCCAAAAAUACAAAAAUUAGCUGGGCGUGGUGGCACGAGUCUGCAAUCCCAGCUACUCCGGAGGCUGAGGCAGGAGAAUCGCUUGAACCCGGGAGAGGCUGCAGUGAGCCGAGAUCCCGCCAUUGCACUCCGGCCUGGGCGACUAGAGCGGCUCAAAUAAAUAAAUAAAUAAAUAGAAGUCACCCCUGUCCGAACCUGGCU